rnacentral:rRNA from 1 species
CUACCAUGCAAGUCGAACGGACCACUUCAGUGGUUAGUGGCGCACGGGUGAGUAACACGUGGUUGACCUACCCCAAAGUAAGGGAUAACGGUCCGAAAGGACUGCUAAUACCUUAUAAGCUCCCGGUGUUUAGAAAACUGGGAGAAAAGUUCCGGCGCUUUGGGCGGGGACUGCGGACCAUCAGCUAGUUGGUGUGGUAACGGCACACCAAGGCGACGACGGAUAGGGGACCUGAGAGGGUGGCCCCCCACACUGGAACUGAGACACGGUCCAGACUCCUACGGGAGGCAGCAGUGAGGAAUAUUGCACAAUGGGCGCAAGCCUGAUGCAGCGACGCCGCGUGGGUGAUGAAGGUUUUCGGAUCGUAAAGCCCUUUUCUAGAUGACGAGUAAGGACGGUAGUCUAGGAAUAAGUGUCCGGCUAACUACGUGCCAGCAGCCGCGGUAAGACGUAGGAGACGAGCGUUAUCCGGAUUUACUGGGCGUAAAGCGCGUGCAGGCGGCUCGUUAAGUUGGAUGUGAAAGCCCCUGGCUAAACUAGGGGAGGUCGUGGAGACUGCACAUCUAGAGUGAGGAAGAGGAAAGUGGAAUUCCGCGUGUAGUGGUGAAAUGCGUAGAGAUGCGGAGGAACACCAGUGGCGAAAGCGACUUUCUGGUCCUUAACUGACGCUGAGGCGCGAAAGCAUGGGGAGCGAACGGGAUUAGAAACCCCGGUAGUCCAUGCCAUAAACGAUGUUCACUAAACGUUCGUUUCCCGCGAGGGAAGCGGGUGUUGAAGCCAACGCAGUAAGUGAACCGCCUGGGGAGUACGGUCGCAAGGCUAAAACUCAAAGGAAUUGACGGGGGACCGCACAAGCAGCGGAGUGUGUGGUUUAAUUCGAGGCUACACGAAGAACCUUACCUGGGUUUGACAUCGUGUUGAAGUGCCCAUGAAAGUGGGUAUGCCUCGCAAGAGCAAUACGACAGGUGCUGCAUGGCUGUCGUCAGCUCGUGCCGUGAGGUGUUCGGUUAAGUCCGCAAACGAGCGCAACCCUCGGUGCCAGUUACAAGUGUCUGGCGCGACUGCCCGUGGCCAACCGGG